rnacentral:lncRNA from 1 species
ACCAGGUAUUUGCUUCCUUUGAAGAAAAUAGGCCCGCCUGUCUAACAAGUCUGGUUCCUUCACGCUUUCUCCUGUGCCUACGUUCCUGUUUCUAAGCUGUGCCUCCUACAAGUGCCCACUUACAGAAUUCUUAUUCAGUUUAUCUUUCAAAGUCUCAGCUUGAGAAAAAAAAUAAAAAGAAAUAAAAUGGACACAAAUAUGACAGGAAGAAAUUAAUAUAGACAACCCAAAGCUACAUUUAAAAGACCAUAAAGAUUCUAUUAGAAAGUUCGUGGACCUCGACAUUUUCCCUAUAGUGUUUCUAAAAAUAGAACUAGUCUGUGAUCUAGCUAGUCAACUCAUGGGUAUACGUCAACUCAUGGGUAUACGUCAACUCAUGGGUAUACGCCCAAAGCACUCUGUUAACAUAGCACAGAGAUACUUGUAUAUCCAUAUUUAUUGUAAUGUUCACCAAAAAAGGAAAGAAAACAAAAAAAGAAAAAGGGAACAGCUUAGACAUUCAUUGAAAGAAAAGGAGAAUUUAUAUAUUUACAAAAAAUUCAGUAGCCUUUGUAUAAAUCUUCAUUCAAAGUAACUUCAUCACAUGUAUAUAGAAAUACUACUGAUUUUUGUGUUUGUUUUGCAUCCUAUUUAACAUUUUUUAACAUUGAAAUCACCAGUUACAUCCAUCUUCCUGAAAAUGUCUUUUUUUUUCUCUCAGUGGCUGAAUAAAGUUUCAUUAUGCUUAUGUUAAAUG